rnacentral:misc_RNA from 1 species
GAUGAAGAACGUAGCGAAAUGCGAUAAGUAGUGUGAAUUGCAGACUUUAGUGAAUCAUCGAAUCUUUGAACGCACAUUGCGCCCCUUGGUAUUCCAUUGGGCAUGCCUGUUCGAGCGUCAUUUACAACCUCAAGCUCCGCUUGGUGUUGGGUGUCUGUCUGGGCUUCUUGCGAAGACUCGCCCUAAAUCUAUUGGCAGCGGCAUCGCCGGCUUCUCGCGCAGUACAAUGCGUUAUGGAAGGCUACCGGCGGGCUUGCGUCCAUCAAGUAACCCCCCAAGUUUGACCUCGAAUCAGGUAGGGAUACCCGCUGAACUUAAGCAUAUCAAUAAGCGGAGGA